rnacentral:rRNA from 1 species
UAAUACGUAGGGCGCAAGCGUUGUCCGGAAUUAUUGGGCGUAAAGAGCUCGUAGGCGGCUUGUCACGUCGGGUGUGAAAGCCCGGGGCUUAACCCCGGGUCUGCAUUCGAUACGGGCUAGCUAGAGUGUGGUAGGGGAGAUCGGAAUUCCUGGUGUAGCGGUGAAAUGCGCAGAUAUCAGGAGGAACACCGGUGGCGAAGGCGGAUCUCUGGGCCAUUACUGACGCUGAGGAGCGAAAGCGUGGGGAGCGAACAGGAUUAGAUACCCUGGUAGUCCACGCCGUAAACGGUGGGAACUAGGUGUUGGCGACAUUCCACGUCGUCGGUGCCGCAGCUAACGCAUUAAGUUCCCCGCCUGGGGAGUACGGCCGCAAGGCU